rnacentral:tRNA from 3 species
GCAGGCGUGGCGGAAUUGGUAGACGCAGCGCACUCAAAAUGCGCCGGGGCAACUCUUGUCGGUUCAAGUCCGACCGCCUGUA